UUCUAGUGUGUACUUCAAGGCAAUUAUUUUGAUUUGAGAAUUAUUGAAACGAUCUACUGUCAUCUACUACUGAUUCCUAGAUUUAACAAACAGUUAAAAUCUGUUUCAAAUAUCGUCCGUCUCCUCUUAUUCAAGCGAAGAGUCGACCAAAGAUGAGAAAAAUGCUAUUGAAAAAUCGCCACAAUAAUAGGGAUUUUCCGGUGUAGAAUGAUUGCUCUCACAGGAUUUAUUGGUGGAGACCGCGACAGAGCAGGAUGGCUCAGUCAGUAAUAUCACCGUGCAGCCCACAGUUUUUCAGGCAUUGACACUAGCAGUACGUAAAGCGAGUCAAUCUAUAUGCAGUUAAGAAGAAAACGAUAAUAGAAGAUCCUUGCUUUGCCCCCAGAAGCAUGGCAAUACAGUCGAAGAAAAAUUAUAAUCAUCACAAUGUAUGUGAUGUAACACGUUUUCUAAUUUAUUUAUCAUUG